rnacentral:rRNA from 1 species
AUUGAACGCUGGCGGCAGGCCUAACACAUGCAAGUCGAGCGGAUGAAGGGAGAUUGCUCCUGGAUUCAGCGGCGGACGGGGGAGUAAUGCCUAGGAAUCUGCCUGGUAGUGGGGGAUAACGUCUGGAAACGGGCGCUAAUACCGCAUACGUCCUGAGGGAGAAAGUGGGGGAUCUUCGGACCUCACGCUAUCAGAUGAGUAUAGGUCGGAUUACCUAGUUGGUGGGGUAAAGGCCUACCAAGGCGACGAUCCUUAACUGGUCUGAGAGGAUGAUCAGUCACACUGGAACUGAGACACUGUCCAGACUCCUACGGGAUGCAUCAGUGUAGCAUCUUGAACAAUGGUCAAAAGCCUUAUCCAACCAUGCCUCGUGUGUGAAGAAGGUCUUCUGAUUGUAAAGCACUUUAAGUUGGGAGUAAUUGCACUAAGUUAAUACCUUGCUGUUUUAACGUUACCAACAAAAUAAGCACCGGCUAACUUCGUG